GUUGGAGCCAUCAUGUGAUUCACCGUCUGUCACAACAACCAUUACUUUUGUGGCUUCUGGACGUCCUCCUGAUUCAGCAAGUCUAGUUUACAUAUGCCUGUACCAUUCUGCAAUGGCCAGGAUUCUGCCUGCCACUGGGAACCUACUCAGAGGCCCUGAGCAAAUUGUCUCCUGGUGGGAAUGAAAUUCAGAAUGUUCUCCUUGCUGUUUAAGGUCUCACACAGGCAACACUUCAGAUCAGAAGGCUUUGCCAGAAUGAGGACUCAGAAGAAGUGUAUGCAGGUUUGCAGCCUGGACUGGUGCAAUGCCUCUGAAUACAGAGGAGCAAGACCAUAUUCAUAUCCGCAUUGGGUCAUGAUUUUUCAGUCCUUAUGUAUCUAUCACAGGACUUUGCUUUUGGCACAUACAUUUUUUAAGAAAUCAAAAUCAACCGUCCCCAACACAAGGUAGCUUAACUUAAUUUGAUAUGGGUUUUUGGUUGGGGUUUUUUUUGUUAGUUUCUUGGUGGUUUUUUCGUUUG